rnacentral:lncRNA from 1 species
GUCAUCAUCUUUCAAUUGUUGGGAGGUUAACUCUAAUAAACUUGAUUUUAGAUAGUCUUCCACUCUAUGUCUUUCUUUUUUCAAGUCAUCAACUGAAAUUAUUCAAAAGCUCACAACAAUUCAAAUAAACUUUUUAUGGAGAGACAUGCAUGAUGAAUAAAAAGUAUGCUGGUUGAGUUGUGAAAAAAAUAUCCCCACCAAUGGAGGAGGGGCUUAAGAGUAGAUCAAGAAAUUAAUAAUAUUUAACUAAGGUUCGCCACAAAUAAAACCAAAUAUCAUAAAAGGACAAAUUAGCAUAUAGGAACUAUACUCAUAUAUAUGCACCCAGAAAAUAAGCCAAACUUGAUAUUCCAUAUAAUUUUUUCAUUUUUUUUAAUAAUUCCAUCCGAAUUCCCAUCGUUAAUUUCUACAUAAAACAUAUAUAAAACAUAUAUAUAAAGUGAAAACUUAAACUUCAAUUAGUAACAACAACAUUCUAGCUAUACAAGAUUAUACUAGGUAAUAUCUCUCUUGGAAUUGUUUUUAAGAAAGAAUAUAUAACUACUAUUAAAGUAUCUUUCAAGUAUAUAAUUCAAUUGAUAAAUAUUGAUAUUGUUAGUUUAGACAUCAUGUCUCAAUUCAAAUGGGAGAUUUCAGAUUUGUGUAUGUAAAUUUCAAGUAGUGCUUACCGCUAGUCUAAAGAAAAAAAAAAAUAGGCUUCAUGAAUAAUUAUAAAUUGCCUGGCUUGAGCCUGUGUGCCGUAAGAAGGCGAAGAAGAUACAAAAUUAAAUAUAAAUCAUGAUGGAGUCAUCAUCAUCUUCACCUUAAUUCACCACCUUGUUUUCUCCCAUCUCUUGAAUUGGAUCCACCAUAGUAGGUGGAUAGUUUUGGCAAGAAAAGGAUUAAGCCUUGAGAUAUAUAGUAAGUACAUAUAUAUUAUAGGAAGAAAAAGGGGUGAUCAAUUUAUGUAGGUGCAUAUAAUAUGAAGUAUAUAAUAAUAAUGAUGAUGGUAUAAUGCAUCACCCAUUCAUUUGUAACUCUUGUUCUUUGACCCAACCCUUCCAACAUAGCCAAACAAGUAAUCA